UACGAAGGGGGCUAGCGUUGCUCGGAAUCACUGGGCGUAAAGCGCACGUAGGCGGAUUGUUAAGUCAGGGGUGAAAUCCUGGAGCUCAACUCCAGAACUGCCUUUGAUACUGGGAAGCUUCGAGUCCGGAAGAGGUGAGUGGAACUGCGAGUGUAGAGGUGAAAUUCGUAGAUAUUCGCAAGAACACCAGUGGCGAAGGCGGCUCACUGGGACGGUAUUGACGCUGAGACGCGAAAGCGUGGGGAGCAAACAGG
rnacentral:rRNA from 1 species